rnacentral:rRNA from 1 species
UACGGGGGGAGCAAGCGUUGUUCGGAUUUACUGGGCGUAAAGGGCGCGUAGGCGGCCACCGCAAGUCGACUGUGAAAUCUCCGGGCUUAACUCGGAAAGGUCAGCCGAUACUGCGGGGCUAGAGUGCAGAAGGGGCAACUGGAAUUCCUGGUGUACCGGUGAAAUGGGUAGAUAUCAGGAGGAACACCCGUGGCGAAGGCGGCUCACUGGGCAUCACCUGACGCUGAGGCGCGAAAGUGUGGGUAGCAAACAGG